CCUACGGGGGACAGCAGUGAGGAAUAUUGGUCAAUGGGCGCGAGCCUGAACCAGCCAAGUCGCGUGAGGGAGGACGGCCCUACGGGUUGUAAACCUCUUUUGCCGGGGAGCAACGGGCGUCACGUGUGGCGCCACUGAGAGUACCCGGAGAAAAAGCAUCGGCUAACUCCGUGCCAGCAGCCGCGGUAAUACGGGGGAUGCGAGCGUUAUCCGGAUUUAUUGGGUUUAAAGGGUGCGUAGGCGGAUCGUUAAGUCAUUGGUCAAAUUGAGGGGCUCAACCCAGUCCCGCCAUUGAAACUGGCGUUCUUGAGUGGAAGAGAAGUAUGCGGAAUGCGUGGUGUAGCGGUGAAAUGCAUAGAUAUCACGCAGAACCCCGAUUGCGAAGGCAGCAUGCCGGCUUCCGACUGACGCUGAAGCACGAAAGCGUGGGGAUCGAACAGGAUUAGAUACCCGGGUAGUC
rnacentral:rRNA from 1 species